rnacentral:rRNA from 1 species
CGGAAUCUAGAUAGCCAUGCAUGCCUUCGAUAAGAAGAAAGCAAUUCUCUCUGAAUCUGCGAACGGCUCCGCAAACCAGUUGUAAACCAUAGCGAGCACGCCCUCGGCCCUCGGGCUGGGGGCGAUAAGGAUAACCCUGGUAAUUCUGAGGCUAAUACUUGACCGUAACACCUGGCCGACCGGCAACGGGAGGCUGGGGGUCGUGUAAGCACCUCACGCAGAAUUCACCGGGAAGGGAUGCACGUUCAGACCACCACAAACAACGGUUGCAGGAGGACCCGCGCAAGCGGCGAUACCUGCUUCCGGGUGGCUCUCGCUCGGUGCUUCUGACCUAUCAACUAGAUGGCAGUGUAAGGGACAUGCUAUGGUUACAACGGGUACAGAG